rnacentral:lncRNA from 1 species
GGGGCGGGGCGGGCGCGGCGUGAGGGCGGCAGCGGCUGCGGCUGCUCCGCCCUGCGCUCCGUGCCCCGGUGACAUCUCGCUCCUCGUCUCCCGCGGCAUCCUCUGCACAGCUCUUUGCUACACCGGGCACUGCUCCGUGUCCGGUCGUGAGCUGCCGCGUGGGAGUGUGAAAAUGUGUUCAUCCUUCCCCAGGGAUGCUCCUUCUCGUUCCUAAUUCUUUGCGCUCGUUUGAGCUUUAGCUGCGUUCAGACCUGGUUUUCCCGUCCCCUUAGAGGAAAAGUCUUGGCCCCAGUGCAGAUUUAUCAGAGGAACCAGAGGCAGUGCCUGUACUGGAGCCUUCCCACAAGUUUCCAAGGAGAGCCUGCCCUUCUCAGACAGCUGCCAGAAGGUGGCUUGGAGGCACGAGAAGGACAAGGUGAUAUCCAUCAUCUGUGAGGACAAGCUGUGGUGGGACCAACAGGAGCCUUGCCUGGAGGAGGGGAGUGUCCUCGUGGGCCAAGGGAAGAGCAGUGAGAACCAUUUACUGUGACUUUAGCAAGGCCUGUGACAAAGCUCCCCAUGGUAUCCAGGCCCCAUACUGUUGUCAAGCCUGCUGCUUGGAGUGGAGAAGGUUUCCAUCACGGCUUUGACUAUUUCAGGGUUGUUUUGACCCUCUCUCAAUCACAACCUGAUAAAUACCAUAGCUUAGUUAGUUGUGCUACUUAUUUUUUUCUCUCCAGAUACUUACAUGGUUGUUUCAUGUCAGGCUGGAAACUCCUUUAAGUGAAGGGUGGAAAACCUCUGGAGCUGUUUGAGAAGUGGAUCACACUCCCCAGUCCCUCCCUGUCUGAGUCAUUUUCCCCUGCUGUGCUUCCAUGGGGAAUGAAGUGCUGAAGACUGACUGUUUGAUUCAGAGGGCAGUAAGAGCCUUUUGGUCUGGAAGCCAUUUCCCCAGCCUUUCUAGACUGAUCCCAGCAUGAAGCAUCCUUAUGUCCAGUGUUUCAUCCCAUUGUGCUGAAAUGAAACAUUGAUGUUUGUGAACAUCUGUAGACAAUAUUGACAAUUUUGGAAAUUGAAAACAAAACACCCAAAAUAUAUCUGUGUGCUCAUUG